rnacentral:rRNA from 1 species
AGAUUGAACGCUGGCGGCAUGCCUAACACAUGCAAGUCGAACGGGAGUAGCAAUACUCUAGUGGCGGACGGGUGAGGAAUACGUAGGAAUUUGCCCUUAAGUGGGGGAUAACCCGGGGAAACCCGGAUUAAUACCGCAUGACCUCGAAAGAGCAAAGUGGGGGAUCGCAAGACCUCACGCUUUUGGAGAAGCCUACGUCGGAUUAGCUAGUUGGUGAGGUAAUGGCUCACCAAGGCGACGAUCCGUAACUGGUCUGAGAGGAUGAUCAGUCACACCGGAACUGAGUACGACGGUCCGGACUCC